CACGAACCGUACGAACGUUAUUCGGAAUUACUGGGCUUAAAGGGUUUGUAGGCGGCUUUGUAAGUCAGGUGUGAAAGCCCUCGGCUCAACCGAGGAACAGCGCCUGAUACUGCAAAGCUUGAGGGAGACAGGGGUAAGCGGAACUGAUGGUGGAGCGGUGAAAUGCGUUGAUAUCAUCAGGAACACCGGUGGCGAAAGCGGCUUACUGGGUCUCUUCUGACGCUGAGGAACGAAAGCUAGGGUAGCGAACGGG
rnacentral:misc_RNA from 1 species